rnacentral:rRNA from 1 species
GAUGAACGCUGGCGGCGUGCCUAAUACAUGCAAGUCGAGCGAACAGACGAGGAGCUUGCUCCUCUGACGUUAGCGGCGGACGGGUGAGUAACACGUGGAUAACCUACCUAUAAGACUGGGAUAACUUCGGGAAACCGGAGCUAAUACAGGAUAAUAUAUUGAACCGCAUGGUUCAAUAGUGAAAGACGGUUUUGCUGUCACUUAUAGAUGGAUCCGCGCCGCAUUAGCUAGUUGGUAAGGUAACGGCUUACCAAGGCAACGAUGCGUAGCCGACCUGAGAGGGUGAUCGGCCACACUGAAACUGAGACACGGUCCAGACUCCUACGGGAGGCAGCAGUAGGGAAUCUUCCGCAAUGGGCGAAAGCCUGACGGAGCAACGCCGCGUGAGUGAUGAAGGUCUUCGGAUCGUAAAACUCUGUUAUUAGGGAAGAACAAAUGUGUAAGUAACUAUGCACGUCUUGACGGUACCUAAUCAGAAAGCCACGGCUAACUACGUG